UCUUGUCUCUUCUCUUCUAAAAGGGGCUUUUGGUUUUAUGGCUAUUGUGACCAGGCAGUUACAGGAGAUUUUACUGGAGUGUGGUAAUUACCUGGCUCCAUUUUAAUCUGGGAAACCUGCAGCACUUUUCACAAACCUUAAUUAACAAAAGCCCAUAACACCCCAUGAGUUGGAGAUUAUUAUCUGUCCCAUUUGGCAGAGGGGAGGAGAAACCCCACUCGGAAGGAGACUCAAGAACAAUAACCAAAUGCCUUCUAGCCAAUAUGGUGGCUGUCCAGGAGGAAAAUGAUAAUUGCCUUCUGCAAUUAAACUGCUUCCUAGAGACAUUCCCUCCCUUUGGCUGGAUCUUUUCCAUCAUUGGAUAACCGUUUUCCUGGGCAGUUAAACAAGAGAGGACUGGACAAGGAAGAUGCUCCUGAGGAAAGAAAUGUCUUGAAUUAAGAAAACAAGCUGUGAGUUUCGGAAUGAGACUUUGCAAGCCCAGCUGCCACUUGUACAAGGCAUCCUGUGGCAAUUGCCAAGCGUGCACAUCUGAUCUGAAGCAACAACAAAAACAGGAAAACUCAUUUAGAUCUGCCUCUUUCUUUCACUGACAAUGUGGCCCUCCCUUCCUCCUUUCUAAGGCUGCUUUGUAAGAGGGGAACCUUGUUUUUACACAAACCAGAUGGUUCACCUUGCCCAACAAACAGCUUUAUUAUCAGCACUCUAUUGAACCUGAAAAGAGGUACAAAGCAGGGCAGGAACCCAGGAAACUAUAGCUAAAGAGAAAGCUGAUAUAAACAUUCUUUCUGAUGGCCCCAAGCACCAGUCAGAGGUUUAAAAGAGAUUGCUGAAAGGUACAAAAGAGUUGCAAACUCCCAGGUCUCAUAACAAGUAAAACACAGACAUCAUAGAUACCAAGAAGCAAAUAUUUAGCAGGGUUACCGAACAAAAUAUUUUUUCAAUCAGCAGAAUGUGGGCAUAUUUUAUCUGAUGGCAGCAUGUGUGCUAGCAUAGCACAUUUACACAAUAGGUGGCAAAAGAACCCCAGAUUCCAUCACAAAAAAGGCAAUCCAACAAAAUAAUUAGACAGGGAUGCAUCCAACAACUGCCAAAUACUCCUUUGCAUAUUAGCCAGCAGGAGCAUUACUGGCAUGCACCAUUAAUGUGAUUUUUGAAAUAUAACAUUGUUAACAUGAUCUACUGCAAAUCAAAAGAUUUACUGGAACUAUUUGCCUGAAAGAUUUUGAGGCUGGUCUGGCCAGUCUCUGGCAUCUCCAUCCACUGCUAUAUGGCAAUUGAACGGGUUUACAAUUUCAGGUCAAUCUUCCUUCUCUUUCACUCAUGUCACAUUAUUCAGUAUUUGGGGGGAAAUCACUAUGAAAUGUCCCUAAGUUGAACAUGUUCAAACAUUAUACAUUAUGUAUUAUUGUACCUUGCACAUUACUACUGGACCUCUUCAUACAUUGGACAAAACCCGACAUCAAGGACAAAGAAUUCAUUGCUGUCUCAUGACCAAAAUGCAACAUUGCACAAGCAAAUGUGCAUGCAAUCUGCAUGUGCAGUGCAUGACAUGAAGCCAUACAUAGUGCACAAGUGCAUACACAACGAUGUGCAACACACUACCUUGAACACUGCACAGUUUUGAACAAGGGCACUACCUGCACAACUCUGCCUCGAUGAUAACUUUGAACUGGAUAAUGUCAACUUCUCCCACAGAGAAACCUACACAUAUGUAAGACAGCAACAAGUUGACAGCCUCUUGAAUAUUAAGUAUAUAUAUAUAUCCAAGCUUGAAUUACUUUUAUGAUACUACACUGUAUGAAGUAUCAGACUAGAUUUUUUUAAGUGGGAGAGUUCAAGAGAGGCAUCAGCAAUAAAUAUGCCCUUAGCACGAUCUAUCCACUCCUGUUUGCUUCUGAAUAAUGUGUGAAAUGGCCUACAGUAUCAAUUAACUCUCAUGCUGUCACUCUCUGGCAACACAAUCCAGUACAUGUCAAUACAAAAGACAGCCCUAUAGAGUUCAGUAAGAAAGGUUUUCAGGAAAGACAUGUUAGACUGCAAAAAUCACAAUAAAACAUAAAACAGACACAUAUAAAACAUACCAUACUCAGAAAUCUUAAUUUUAAACAAAGGGCAACCUCAAACUGUUGUAAAGGUAUGUAGUCACUGGUGUUCUUUAGAUUUUAUGAUGCAGAUGGAUACCACCAAAAUAUCAGAGUAUCAUUCCAUAUCUUCUUGAAAAUUAAUCUUCUUUCACAUAGAAUUUGACAUUAAACCUGAGACUUUGUUUCUUACUGGAUCUGUCCUGUAAUUCAAAUAUCUUUAUCUCGCACAUGUGUAGGUGCAACAUAGGUUCCUUUUUUCUUCCUCUUCUUCCCCCUCCUCUUUAUUUUUCGUUUGAAGCUGACAAUAGGAAAAUUAUUUGCAUGUUAAAAGAAAUUGCUCUAAUGACAAGCAUCAUAUAUUGGCUGAUACUCAGCCUAGAUCUCCCCAUACCAUGUUGCCUAUUUGAAAAGGAAAGGCUUGGCUAAAUCCUUUUGAACUUAAUUUCUCUUCUCCACUUGGAUCAAUGGGAGUGGACAAAGAGCAACUUGAAGAAUCUGCAUGCUC